GAUAAAUAAAGAAAAAAUCUAAAUUCAAUGGUUUCAAUUGAUGCUUAAAGACUAUUUUCAUCAAAACUACCAGAGUUUCCUGUAUCUUCAGACUUGGGGCUACUGGUGUUGACAAUAACUCCUACUAAGAAAAUAAUCAUCUAGAAGACUGUCCUAUCUUACAAAAUUAAAGAGAGGACUAGAACACACAAGGAAGAAAGCAAGAUAAUACAUAAAAGGGUACAGGAGUUAAUAGGCACUUCAUUUUACAAUCUUGCUUCUAUAGUUUCUUUAUACUUCUUAUGGUAAGAGUCCCUAGGAAGAAUAUCCACUUUUUUAAGACCUGAGCUUGCCAAGCCAAUGCCAAUCUUUCAUAGAACUUCCUCUGAUCACUAUACUGUGCCAUAAAAUUACUGACAUAUCUGGAGUCUUAUUAGUUAUCAGAUAUACUUUUUCACAGUAGUUCUGAUUUAGUUUCAAAUGACAUAUUUGAGUUGUUAACAUAUGAUGUGCUUUUAGCCAUAUAAUUUGAACAGUAGAGCGAUUUACUUGUACAUUGGAAGGUUACCUUAUUGGAAGGUUACCCUGGUCAUUACCAAUAGGAGCCAGGACUAUAGGAAGCAAGCACCUGGAGUGGUCUUUUUUCCAGGCCAGUCACUACUACAACACUUAUUAGGAGGAGCUAAAAAUGUGCUCUACCAGGCAAUUCUUACCAGUCACCUGUGUCCAAUCCCCUCUUCUCUGUCAAGGUAUUUGUAUAUCCACUACAGUCUUAAUAGUUUAACUGUUUUAUUUCUUCAGGCUGUGAAUCCUUGCAAUUCAGAGAUGAAAGAAGCAGCACGAAAACUAAUUUUGCUGUUAUUCAUGUCUAGUCUGACUUCUCUACACAAAAGUCCAUUUAAAAAAAAAUCUUGAUUUAACCUUUAAAUAUAGGACAUAAAUUUCCAAAUAGAAAACGUUAUGUUAGGUAUUUUAGAAUUCAAAAGGUAAUUGUUAAAUAUCUUGCGAGAGAAAAUGUAUAGUGAUGUUUAAAAAUUUAAUAUAUAUGUAUAGGAUAUAUAUGUGUGUCAGAAAAUGUAUUAAUGAAUUGAAUCCUUUGCUUAACUUCUGGAAAUUGAGAACAUAUACAUAUAUAUGAGUGUGUGUGUAUUUAUUUAUAUUUUCAUAUUUGCCAGCCUAAGAACUACACUUAGAAUGAGAGAUGGAAUUGAGAGAUGUUGAGAUGAAUUGUUUAAGGUCACACAGCACAAAACCAAUUAAAGUCAAGGCAAGGAUGAGGACCCAAGACUGGCUUAUGUCCUACCAAGUGCUUUAUUCACUCUGUAAAUGAUUGCUAAACAUAUUGAACAUGUAGAAAUAUUUAUUAUAAAAAUUUAUUAGGCAUAAUUUAAUAAGCAAAUCUGUUUCAUUUAUUA
rnacentral:lncRNA from 1 species